rnacentral:rRNA from 1 species
AAGUCGAACGCGAAAGUUUCCUUCGGGGAACAAGUAGAGUGGCGCACGGGUGAGUAACACGUAGGUAAUCUACCUUUGGAUGGGGAAUAACAACCGGAAACGGUUGCUAAUACCGCAUAAUGCAGCGGCACCUAAUGGUGACAGUUGUUAAAGCGGGGGAUCGAAAGACCUCGCGUCUGAAGAGGAGCCUGCGGCGGAUUAGCUAGUUGGUAAGGUAACGGCUUACCAAGGCGAUGAUCCGUAGCCGGCCUGAGAGGGCGGUCGGCCACACUGACACUGACAUACGGGUCAGACUCCUACGGGAGGCAGCAGUCGGGAAUUUUGGGCAAUGGGCGAAAGCCUGACCCAGCAACGCCGCGUGAAGGAUGAAAUCCUUCGGGAUGUAAACUUCGCAAGAACGGGAAGAAUAAGUAAGGGUUAAUAUCUCUUACGAUGACGGUACUGUUUGUAAGCUCCGGCUAACUCCGUGCCAGCAGCCGCGGUAAUACGGGGGGAGCAAGCGUUGUUCGGAUUUACUGGGCGUAAAGGGCGCGUAGGCGGCCACCGCAAGUCGGUUGUGAAAUCUCUGGGCUUAACCCAGAAAGGUCAACCGAUACUGCGGGGCUAGAGUGCAGAAGGGGCAACUGGAAUUCUCGGUGUAGCGGUGAAAUGCGUAGAUAUCGAGAGGAACACCUGCGGCGAAGGCGGGUUGCUGGGCUGACACUGACGCUGAUGCGCGAAAGCUAGGGGAGCGAACGGGAUUAGAUACCCCGGUAGUCCUAGCCUUAAACGAUGAAUGCUUGGUGUCUGGGGUUUUAUAGUCCCCGGGUGCCGUCGCUAACGCUUUAA